GGGAAACCAGUGGCUCAGCUCUGACAACACCUGUAUAUCCAACUCCCACUUUAACUUUUUUUCUUCUGCCAAAUGGGUUUUAGGCUACAUCUCAAAUGGGGUUUCUCUCUUCAACCCCCUUUCUCCUCCAAUUCAUCAUCAUGGCCUUCUUCACACUCUUUCAAAGGACGGGAAACUUUAUACGAUCCAGCUAGGUCUCUCAAACCUUUUAUCAACGGCGACUGUGAGCCUUC
rnacentral:misc_RNA from 1 species